GGACUUUUUUAUUUGGAUUGCAUUUUGCAGGGAAGUCCAGAAAUCCUGAAAGCUGUUUUGGAACAGAAAGAGGCUAAGGGCUUCUGACAAAGCAAGGAUGAAAAUCUGCAUGAAGCAAGAAACCAAGACGGUCUCUCAGGCUCCCCUCUGGAUCCAGGAGCCUGGUCAGAGUUGUGUGAGACAGGUUUCACCUCCAUGCAGCACUUGAGGCACAGAAGAGACAUGGUGUUGGGAUCUGGAAAGCCAAUGGAAAUGAGACAAGUGGACGUGACCAGCUCAGAUCUACUUGGCUCUGACAACCUAAACGAGGUUGGUGUGCAAUGACCUGGAAGGCUCCAGACCAAAUCUUCUAGCAACUCGAGUCAUGGGCUUAGUCUUAGAAUCUCCUUUGCCACUAAUAUUUGCCUUUUCCCUUGUCUUGUUUGUUCCUUAAUUCUUGAUGGUCUCACCCUUUGCAUGGGAAUUUGGGAACAUUCAUUGAGUCUUAUUGAUGGAAGUAUUUUCUAAUCCAGUGCAAGUUUCCCAGGGUAUCCUGGAGAUCAGACUUCUUUCAGGAUAGAGCUGUGCUUGCAAGAUUUCACUGCUUGUUUCAUCCAGUGGGACAGAACCUCCCUCUGGAUAUCAUGCUUCAGUGUUUUACAGUGCUGUAUCACUCUGCAGCCAACACACAUGGGCUGAGUCACAGCAUUAAAAAUGUCUGGUCUUUGUGAUCAGGCUGACCAAGUGCCACCUUCAGAACCAGAGCAGUGGCAAAGCAGAGGGCUCAGUGUUUAUUUUCUGUUGUGAUUGGCUCCAUUCUCUGUGCAUUCCAGACAAACAGCAUCCCUGCUGUUUUCUGACUCAAAGCAAUAUAUCCCUUAGCAUCUAGCAUGCCAAAAUUGACCCCUGGGCAACUAUGCAACAGAAAACAAAGGGCUUGUUAAACAAAAAUAUAUUUAUGCAGGAUCAGACAUCCAAACACAAUAAAAUAAGUUCCUCUAUAUGUCA
rnacentral:lncRNA from 1 species